GAAGAUGAAGAGGGCCAAAUAUCGGUCCUUAUCAACUUUGGACAAAUUCAUGGAGAUCGUUCGUUAAUAAAGUAAUUGACGACUUUGCGGAAAAAGAUUGCCGAAUAGAUAUUUGUUUAAAAUUUUUUUAUGGAAACACAGCUUCCUUAUAAUCAAAUGUCACUGCAUGCUACUGGAAUACAAGAACGUGG